CCUACGGGGGCAGCAGUGGGGAAUAUUGGACAAUGGGCGAAAGCCUGAUCCAGCCAUGCCGCGUGUGUGAAGAAGGCCUUCGGGGUGUAAAGCACUUUCAGUGGGGAAGAAAGCCUUGGGGCUAAUACCCUCGAGGAAGGACAUCACCCACAGAAGAAGCACCGGCUAACUCCGUGCCAGCAGCCGCGGUAAUACGGAGGGUGCGAGCGUUAAUCGGAAUUACUGGGCGUAAAGCGCGCGUAGGCGGUCUGAUAAGCCGGUUGUGAAAGCCCCGGGCUCAACCUGGGAACGGCAUCCGGAACUGUCAGGCUAGAGUACAGGAGAGGAAGGUAGAAUUCCCGGUGUAGCGGUGAAAUGCGUAGAGAUCGGGAGGAAUACCAGUGGCGAAGGCGGCCUUCUGGACUGACACUGACGCUGAGGUGCGAAAGCGUGGGUAGCAAACAGGAUUAGAUACCCGUGUAGUC
rnacentral:rRNA from 1 species